AUGGAGGAGCGCCUCAUGGAGCCUAUCCAUCUGGUGGAGAUCCAGUGUCCUGAGCAAGUGGUGGAUGGCAUCUAUGAUGUCCUGAACAGGAAUCGUGGCCAUAUACUUGAGGAGUCCCAGGUGGCUGGUACCCCUAUGUUUGUGAUCAAGGCAUACCUGCCUGUCAGUGAGUCCUUUAGCUUCACCGCUGAUCUUCGAUCCAACACUGGUGGCCAGGCUUUCCCCCAGUGCAUGCUUGACCACUGGCAGAUCCUGCCUGGGGACCCCUUUGGCAACAGCAGCCGCCCCAGCCAAGUGGUAGCUGAGACCUGCAAGUGCAAAGGCCUGAAGGAGGGCUUCCCAGCGCUGGACAACUUCCUGGACAAACUGUAGGCAGCCUGGUACUGCCACAUGCUGCAGAGUGCCCUCCCAUCAGAAGACACCUUGAGACUGUCCCCACAUUGUCCCUCUGGAGGCUGCUGGGGCCACCCUGACAUCACCCAGCACUCACUUGCUACCAAUUCUAUUUAUUUCGGAAU